CCUACGUGAGGCAGCAGUGAGGAAUAUUGGUCAAUGGGCGCGAGCCUGAACCAGCCAAGUAGCGUGAAGGAUGACUGCCCUACGGGUUGUAAACUUCUUUUAUAAAGGAAUAAAGUGAGGCACGUGUGCCUUUUUGUAUGUACUUUAUGAAUAAGGAUCGGCUAACUCCGUGCCAGCAGCCGCGGUAAUACGGAGGAUACGAGCGUUUUCCGGGGUUAUUGGGUUUAAAGGGAGCGUAGAUGGGUUGUUAAGUCAGUUGUGAAAGUUUGCGGCUCAACCGUAAAAUUGCAAUUGAUACUGGCAGUCUUGAGUACAGUUGAGGUAGGCUGAAUUCGUGGUGUAGCGGUGAAAUGCUUAGAUAUCACGAAGAACUCCGAUUGCGAAGGCAGCUUACUAAACUGCCACUGACAUUGAUGCUCGAAAGUGUGGGUAUCAAACAGGAUUAGAUACCCGGGUAGUC
rnacentral:rRNA from 1 species